GUCUAUGACCAUACCACCCUGAACACAGCCAGUCUCCUCUGAUCUCGGAAGCUAAGCAGAGUCGGGCCUAGUUAGUACCUGGAUAGGAGAAAUAAUAUCUUUGAAA
rnacentral:rRNA from 1 species